UGGAUCCAGACUUUGAUUCUGGCUCAGGAUAAACGCUGGCGGCGCACAUAAGACAUGCAAGUCGAACGGACUUAAUACCUUGCUUGCAAGGUAAGCGGUUAGUGGCGGACUGGUGAGUAACACGUAAGAAAUCUGCCUAUCAGAGGGGAAUAACAGUGAGAAAUCACUGCUAAUACCGCAUAUGCCAUAUAUAUCGCAUGAUAUAAGUGGGAAAGAAGUAAUUCGCUGAUAGAUGAGCUUGCGGCUGAUUAGCUAGUUGGUGGGGUAAAGGCCUACCAAGGCAACGAUCAGUAGCCGGACUGAGAGGUUGAACGGCCACAUUGGGACUGAGAUACGGCCCAGACUCCUACGGGAGGCAGCAGUCGGGAAUAUUGCGCAAUGGAGGGAACUCUGACGCAGUGACGCCGCGUAUAGGAAGAAGGUUUUCGGAUUGUAAACUAUCGUCCUCAGGGAAGAAAAAAGACUGUACCUGAGAAGAAAGCUCCGGCUAACUACGCGCCAGCAGCCGCGGUAAUACGUAGGGAGCAAGCGUUAUCCGGAAUUAUUGGGUGUAAAGGGUGCGUAGACGGGAUAACAAGUUGGUUGUGAAACCCCUCGGCUCAACUGAGGAACUGCAACCAAAACUAUUAUUCUUGAGUGCAGGAGAGGAAAGUGGAAUUCCUAGUGUAGCGGUGAAAUGCGUAGAUAUUAGGAAGAACACCGGUGGCGAAGGCGACUUUCUGGACUGUAACUGACGUUGAGGCACGAAAGUGUGGGGAGCAAACAGGAUUAGAUACCCUGGUAGUCCACACUGUAAACGAUGGAUACUAGGUGUAGGGGGUAUUAAGCCUUCUGUGCCAUCGCAAACGCAGUAAGUAUCCCACCUGGGGAGUACGACCGCAAGGUUGCAACUCAAAUGAAUUGACGGA
rnacentral:rRNA from 1 species